rnacentral:rRNA from 1 species
UACGUAGGGUGCGAGCGUUAAUCGGAAUUACUGGGCGUAAAGCGUGCGUAGGCGGCUAUUUAAGACAGAGGUGAAAUCCCCGGGCUCAACCUGGGAACUGCAUUUGUAACUGCAUGGCUAGAGUACGGUAGAGGGGGAUGGAAUUCCGCGUGUAGCGGUGAAAUGCGUAGAUAUGCGGAGGAACACCAAUGGCGAAGGCAAUCCCCUGGACCUGUACUGACGCUCAUGCACGAAAGCGUGGGGAGCAAACAGGAUUAGAAACCCGCGUAGUCC